AGCUCGUAGUUGGAUUUCUGGUAGUGAAUCCAGGUCCAUUCCUCGCGGAAUGUGUACCAGGUUUUUCAUCACCAUCUUCGAAGAAACCUUAUCUGUCAUUAAGUUAAUGGGUAAGAGUUCUUCGUCAUUUACUGUGAGCAAACUAGAGUGUUCAAAGCAGGCUUAUGCCGUUGAAUACAUUAGCAUGGAAUAAUAAGAUAAGACCUUAGUCUAUUUUGUUGGUUUAUAUUCCGAGGUAAUGAUUAAUAGGGACAGUUGGGGGUAUUGGAAUUGAAACGUCAGAGGUGAAAUUCUUGGAUUGUUUCAGGUCCAACUACUGCGAAAGCAUUUACCAAGAAUGUUUUCAUUAAUCAAGAACGAAAGUUAGGGGAUCGAAGAUGAUUAGAUACCAUCGUAGUCUUAACCAUAAACUAUGCCGACUAGGGAUUGGUGGAUGUUAUGAUGACUCCAUCAGCACCUAAUGAGAAAUCAAAGUCUUUGGGUUCCGGGGGGAGUAUGAUCGCAAGAUUGAAACUUAAAGAAAUUGACGGAAGACUACCACCAGGCGUGGAACAUGCGGCUUAAUUUGACUCAACACGGGGAAACUUACCAGGUCCAGACAACGUGAGGAUUGACAGAUUGAUAGCUCUUUCUUGAUUUAUUGGGUGGUGGUGCAUGGCCGUUCUUAGUUGGUGGAGUGAUUUGUCUGGUUAAUUCCGUUAACGAACGAGACCCCCGCCUGCUAAAUAGUUUGAACAAUACUUUGUAUUGGUUGAAACUUCUUAGAGGGACUUUCAGUGACUAACUGAAGGAAGUUGGGGGCAAUAACAGGUCUGUGAUGCCCUUAGAUGUUCAGGGUCGCACGCGCGUUACACUGACACACUCAGCGAGUCUUCCUUGUCCGAAAGGUCCGGGUAAUCUUGUCUAUGUGUGUCGUGAUAGGGAUAGA
rnacentral:rRNA from 1 species